GGUAUUUUUACCAAGGAGAAUAAGUUUUAAAAAUAAACUAAAAAAAAAAGGGUUGUAGAAGCUGGGUUUCGAACCCAGCACCCCGGACCUAAGCAAAACCGACCCAACCAACCAAGCUGCGCUCGAUUUGUUAAUCAAAUAUGGAGCGAUAUAUAUUUAAGUAGUAGUUAGGAAUAGUAAAAUAAAUUGGAAAUAAAAGUGCGCGGCUGAGGAAUCGAAGCCAAGAUCUCUGACUUGGUUAAAAUCUGGCUAACCAAGUGUGCUGCGGGCGGUUUUGUUUAAGAAUAGAUAGUAAAAUUAUUUAAAGAAGUUAACCGAAUAUUGAGUUAUAAGAGAGAACUUAGGGAUUAAUUUUUCCCGAGACCUAAUUUUCUUCCCCCUCCCUUAUCUCGCGCGGCGUCGUCCUCUGCUCGGGCGGAAGACGAAGAGAAGCUAGGGCUUCUUUCGACGGCCGACCAAGGUUCUCCAAGGGAUUUUCUUCACUAUCACAAUCCCCUCGUCGAGGAGAUUUCGUGGACACGAAGAGGAGCCGAGAUCUUCACUUCUCCGGAAACUCUAGUGCCUUCCCCUUCGGCUGUGAGUCCAAGAAACCGCUAUACAGGAAAGGAAAAGAUAUAGAAAGGAAGGCGACAAGGAGGUGUUCGAAGGAUGUGUGA